GCCCGGGUGGUGAAAUUGGUAGACGCAGGGGACUCAAAAUCCCCCGCCGAAAGGCGUGCCGGUUCGAUUCCGGCCCCGGGCACCA
rnacentral:tRNA from 19 species